rnacentral:rRNA from 1 species
UGGGGGAUAUUGCACAAUGGGGGAAACCCUGAUGCAGCAACGCCGCGUGAAGGAAGAAGGUCUUCGGAUUGUAAACUUCUGUUUUAGUGAAGAAAAGAUGACGGUAGCUAAAGAGGAAGCCACGGCUAACUACGUGCCAGCAGCCGCGGUAAUACGUAGGUGGCAAGCGUUGUCCGGAUUUACUGGGUGUAAAGGGUGCGCAGGCGGGACUGCAAGUUGGAUGUGAAAUACCGGAGCUCAACUCCGGAACUGCAUCCAAAACUGUAGUUCUUGAGUGGAGUAGAGGUAAGCGGAAUUCCGAGUGUAGCGGUGAAAUGCGUAGAUAUUCGGAGGAACACCAGUGGCGAAGGCGGCUUACUGGGCUCUAACUGACACUGAGGCACGAAAGUGUGGGUAGCAAACAGGAUUAGAUACCCUGGUAGU